GUCCUCGUAGCUCAGGGGAUAGAGCGACCGCCUCCUAAGCGGUAGGUCGCGCGUUCGAAUCGCGCCGAGGACA
rnacentral:tRNA from 1 species